rnacentral:tRNA from 1 species
GUGAAAAGUUGUGAAAGUGUUUAAAACUGACUCUUAAUCAGUAGGUCCUGGGUUCGAUUCCCCGAUGGCCCACCA